AUUUCGAUAUACACAUUUACAUUAAAUAUUCCACUCUCAUUAAUGGAGAUAAUCACUGAAAUUACAUGAAGUCAUUAUGCAGAAGUUACAAAUGAUACGAAUUUAGGCAUGUUUAGUGGAUGUGCUUGAUCAGUUUUCCUGUGGCAUGCUGUUUUAAUGACAGUGAGGAGUGCUAUAGGUGCACAAUAAUUCAUCUUCAAACUAAACUGCAGAUCUCAUGUCAUGAGAAAAUAUUUUAGUGAGAACAAUGAUCAGUGAUGCGCACUGCGACACUGUGGAUGACACUGCUGGAUUCGGUGGAACGGUCUACAUCGUCUGGUUUGAAUAGGUCCAGUGAUAAUAUCUUACUGUACAACAACAGCUGCACGGAGGUGUUGAUGGUGUGUGAAGGCAUCUCCACGACAUUAUGAAAAAUACCACUUUAUUUGAAGGAUACAACUUGAAGAAAUGAUAAUUUGCAUGUAUUUUUGUUUUUUUUAAUAGGUUAUUUUGUCAGUGACGCGCCGAGUCAGACAAUAGCAGGGUUUCAGUCACGUGAUUAUGAUGACGCGGGAAGAAGGCAGAUGGAGGGCAGGAAGUAAACAUGGAGAAUACGUCUAUAGAGGAAACCGUUGCAGAAAGUCAGUAUUGUACGGAUUUAGAUCCAGUUUCAAGACAUAGAUAUAAGGAGUUAAUUAACAGGUAUGUUGGAUGUGACCCGUACCUCAUGAAGAUGAGUGAGUUUUCAGUAGAACUGAAAGAUUUACCGACAGUUGAGGCUGUUGACAUCACCAACUAUCUGGUCCUUCAGACAUCGUACUACACCAGACAGCAAAUGAAGGCCUAUAAAAGUCUGGAGGCAUACAACUUUUUUGUCAACGGGUGGGUCCACAACCUCGGUGUCAAACGGCUCCACGAUGAUCAUCGUUUGGUCUUCGCCAGAGUAAACCACUCUCAGAGGUCAAGCAAAACACCUCUGAAGACCUGA
rnacentral:lncRNA from 1 species